rnacentral:lncRNA from 1 species
CUGAGCUACCCGACCUCUCCAGGGGAUCGGCUGCGCGCCCCGCCCUUGCCCAGAGUCUUCCCGGGAUUGGCUGCGGGCCUCGCGACCCUCCUGCUUCCCUCCCCGCCCCGCGCCGCCUCUCUGGUUUGUGCGCCCGUCGCAGGUCGCAGGCCUCUUUGUCAGCUGGAGUUGCGCGGGCUGACGCGCCACUAUGUAGCGGGUUUCGGGCGGGCCACGCGUGCGGGACAGGAACCCAACCCCAGCCGACCUUGAGCUCCAGGAGUUCGUCUCUUACGUCUGCGGAAGUGCAGCUGCCUCAGUUCUUAGCGCAGGUUGACAACUACAGGCACAAGCCAUUGAAGCUGGAAUGUCCUGUUGCUGGUAUUUCAAUUGACUUAAGCCAACUAUCCCUUCAGUUACAAUAGGAAAGUGCCUCUAAUAAGGCCAAAUAUGCGUACUAACUUGUAGCAACCACGUGUCCGUGCAGUGCCACAGGAGCUAGAGCAGUGACAAUGCUGGUGGCAACAGGGCAGUGUAGCAGGUGCUUCAUGUUCACCUUUUCAACCUUUUCAUUUAAUUGUCACAACUCGGAGGUGGAUUCUGUUAGGGACAGGCUGCCCCAGGACCACUCCGCCCCCGCUAACUCAAUGCAGCUGACCCUUACCCUGAAUACUCUGCAGCUGCAUUCCUGAACCGUUAUCUAGGCGCUAUAGCAAGGUCACCAGACUUGCUACACCGAAGCCCUCUGGGUGGCACGGGGGAGGUCAUGAGAAACGUGGAUUACACCCCCUUGUAAAUUCCUAUUUUCACAAGAUAAUAUAUUGUAAGCCGGUCAUGAGAUUAUAUGUGGUAAAGUUAAUUGACUAACAACCCCAGGGUCUCUCUCCCCCAUAUAAACCCCUCAUUUUGUAAGCUCAGGGCUGCCACCUCCGACUGGUGGAGAAGCCUGGCAGGUUAAUAAACUUACUUGGCCUGACCUUGGGUCUCUUGUCUUUUCUCUCGGCUAACCUUACAGAUUCUAUUCUCCCAUUUCACAGGUAAAGAAAUGGAUUAGUGAUAACUCAAGUUUCAUCACCUCUCUACAAGUUUCACGCUGUUUAAGUCAUGAACCUACAAAAGCCUGUGAAAAAAUCUUUGAAGAUGCUCAGCUUGUUUCAGUCUGAAAUUUCUCCAAGACCAAUGAACAAAACAGGAUCAUGCCCUGAAUACACACCCAAGCUGCAGGCUCCUGCUUAGCCCUAUUUUGGUUUGGCCUCCAUGAGAUCUUCAGCCACAAUAGCAGGAGAUAAAAAUCUUCCUAGAAGCUUUCAUCAGCUGCAAGUUUUCUUACAGAAUGAAACUUUUCUGCUAUUUUUCUCAUAGUUAAUUGGCUAUUUGAGAAAACCGAAUUUCUGGCUCUCAGCAUUUAAUUGGAUUCUGUGGGUGACUGGAUGACCGCUUUGCACAUCACCAUGGGUAUCAUCCUUACCUUCUUUAAACCUUUUGUGCCAGUCAAAAAUUCUUGCUCUUGAUAUGUCAUCACCGGAAACUACUUUUUUUUUUUGUUUCUCUUUUGUGACAG